rnacentral:rRNA from 1 species
UACGUAGGGGGCAAGCGUUGUCCGGAAUUAUUGGGCGUAAAGAGCGCGUAGGCGGUCCGAUAAGUCGGCUGUGAAAGUCAGGGGCUCAACCCUUGAAAGCCGGCCGAUACUGUCGGACUAGAGUCCGGAAGAGGCAAGUGGAAUUCCCGGUGUAGCGGUGAAAUGCGUAGAUAUCUGGAGGAACACCGGUGGCGAAGGCGGCAUCCUGGACCGAUACUGACGCUGAGGAGCGAAAGCCAGGGGAGCAAACGGG